rnacentral:lncRNA from 1 species
UGCCAUUCGGCCAGUGGUUUGAAGUCAGGGUUACAAUGUUGUAAGGACCCCAUUUGAGAAUGGCUGAAGGAAGGAAGAUUGUUAUCGUCCCAUGUGUGUCAGACAGGGCCCAGCAUCCCACUUACCAGAAAGAGCAAGGAGUAAAUGCUGGUUUUCAGAUGAGAAGAGAAGAAAGCAGAUAUGCUAAGGGAGAGCCCCAAGGGACAGAGAGAAAACACACACCUGGAACAUCCCAGAGAUCUUACAUCCUUGACUCAAAUAGGUGCCCAGCUCAAAUGUGAGUUCUAAGAGACGGCCUGGUACUAUGGGCUAGGGUGAGUUUCCAUCGGAAUCCUAUACAGCAACCAUUCAGAAUCAUCAGUUGCCACUGAAGUGGGGACCAUACAGCCCAUUAUCAAAUGCAGUAAGUAAGGUUUAUUCUGUGCUCUACACUUUAGGGUUGUAUUAAACUAGAAAUAUAAAACCCAUGUUUCCGGAAAAUGCAAGAUGCUGUAUCUACAUUGAGGCUGAACAAGAAGAAUCACCGUGGGCUACACACAGAUUAAUUACUAUCUUCAAAGAAUUACAAUACUAUCAAACAUUCCUACCACAAAAUUAUGCUGAACAAAAUUUAAUCUUUCUGUGACUGUUCAAAAGAAUUUAGGAUCUUGUAAUCCUCCAGGGACAUUACCAUUUUAUAAAUUGCACCAAAAAAAAAUUCUCAUUAUUUCUGCUCCCUGGUAGUUUGGAUUCAGGAGAAAUGGGAAUUUACUGUAAUACUUUGAGUUAUUGAGUUCUGGAAGCUCACAGCACUUCAAAUAUACAUGCAUUAUAUCACUUAUCUUGCUCAUGAAAUUUACAAAUGGAAACAGUUAGUAAUGGGUGGAUUUUUAGAUACAAAGUCUGUUCCUUGAAGUUCUAAUGAAUAAUUCUUCCAUUUGGCAUUUCUAAACCGACACUGGCUUGCUUUUCUAUUGCAGCACAUAAUAUAAUAUACACAUCAGCUGAAGAUCAAAUAGGCCUAAGGCUAGCAGCAAAGAAAUUUGAACUAUAAUUUUAUUGUAUUUUAAAGUAUAUAGUAAUCUGAUUCCACAUUUCAGCUCAUAAAUGUUCUGAUGAACCUGG